rnacentral:rRNA from 1 species
AGUGAACGCUGGCGGUAGGCCUAACACAUGCAAGUCGAACGGCAGCACAGUAAGAGCUUGCCCUUACGGGUGGCGAGUGGCGGACGGGUGAGGAAUACAUCGGAAUCUACUUUUUCGUGGGGGAUCACGUAGGGAAACUUACGCUAAUACCGCAUACGACCUACGGGUGAAAGCAGGGGAUCUUCGGACCUUGCGCGAUUGAAUGGGCCGAUGUCGGAUUAGCUAGUUGGCGGGGUAAAGGCCCACCAAGGCGACGAUCCGUAGCUGGUCUGAGAGGAUGAUCAGCCACACUGGAACUGAGACACGGUCCAGACUCCUACGGGAGGCAGCAGUGGGGAAUAUUGGACAAUGGGCGCAAGCCUGAUCCAGCCAUACCGCGUGGGUGAAGAAGGCCUUCGGGUUGUAAAGCCCUUUUGUUGGGAAAGAAAAGCAGCAGGUUAAUACCCCGCUGUUCUGACGGUACCCAAAGAAUAAGCACCGGCUAACUUCGUG